UUAGGAAAUCGCCUGCACACACCUGGACACCUUCUCAAAACACAUAAAUACUGUUUUUGUCUAAAGCCAGAUCCACACAGCAGCAUUGAUACGCUCAAUCAGACAUUACAUCGCUGUCUCCCCCCUACAAAUGCGCCGCACCGGCACACAGAAAUGGAUGGAGAGGAAUAGUAGAUCAUCGGCAUAGAACAGAAAAAAAUAUGGAAGAGAUCCAGGCCUCCCUUCUAAAUCCUGCCCUAAAUACAAAAAUGCAGCAUUUCUCCAGUCAUGCACCUAAUCAGACCUAUUUGGCACAGCGAUUCUACCAUUGCUCCUGCUCCUGCCUCUCUCUCUCUCUUCCUCUCUCUCUAUCUCUCUCCCUCUCUCUCCCUGUUCCCUUUCCGUGCGCCUGCUGUGAUGUAGAGGUGAAGCUCCUUCCCUGGAAGACUGGUAAAAAAAAGAGA